rnacentral:rRNA from 1 species
UACGGGGGGGCAAGCGUUGUUCGGAAUUCCUGGGCGUAAAGGGCUCGUAGGUGGCCAACUAAGUCGGACGUGAAAUCCCUCAGCUUAACUGGGGAACUGCGUCCGAUACUGGAUGGCUUGAGUUUGGGAGAGGGAUGCGGAAUUCCAGGUGUAGCGGUGAAAUGCGUAGAUAUCUGGAGGAACACCGGUGGCGAAGGCGGCAUCCUGGACCAACACUGACACUGAGGAGCGAAAGCCAGGGGAGCAAACGGG